GGCUAUGUUGUUGUAAUGGGAAUCAGCUGCUGAGCCGUUCUGGUCUGGAAUAACCUGUCAACAGGAACACAGAGGGAAAAUCCUAAUGGCACUAAGUUACUCCUGACAAGUGGAUCAGCACCCACGGACAGCCACAUGCUGUGUUGCGAAGACCAGCUCUGGUGUCCCAAGAACAAGUGAGCUUGGCACAGCCUCGAGGAGCACUGUCAGCAGCUACAGCAAAGGACUGAAUAUUCAUAGCUGCUUUUCUCCACUUGAGAUGCUCAGAGAAGGGACUGGGUUUCCAGGAGAGCUCCUUUGGGGCUGCGUAGUGUCUGCCACAAACUUUUGGAAAAUGUGGGCCACAAAACACAAGGCAGCAUGUAUAGAGAGCUGUAAUUUGGGAAAGUGAAGACCUGGACCUACUUCUUCUGUCCCUCCUUAAAAGGUAUUCUGUUGAUUGUGAGAUUUGGACAUUGCUUCUAAAAGAAUAAAGUUUCAAAAAUGGCAACAACAAAAAAAGGCAUCUACAAAGAGGUGACAACAGAACUAUUAAUUUCUUUGUACUUAGGGAAGAAAAGAUUUUUCCCUAAUAGGACCCACAACGGCAAUGUGGAAACUGUUUCUGUUAGCUGGAGCACUUCUUCAUAUGUCCUCUAUAGGGAGUGGGUCAAAAACGGCGAGCAUCAGCAGACCCUUAGAGCAGACUCUUCUUCUGUCCUUUCUGUGCCCACUAUGCAAUUACUCAGCUACAGUCUGACAUCUACAGUCACAAAGACCCAGGCUGUCUGCCUGUUUAGUGCUAUAUAAGUGCUGCUAAAAUACCUGUGGACUGGCUGUCAAGGAGAAAACUUCCAGAUCGUAGUAAAGAGCUUCUUUCCAUGCAAGACAUUACUGUAAAAGAUUAAAUUCCCACCGAUAUU
rnacentral:lncRNA from 7 species